rnacentral:rRNA from 1 species
CCUACGGGAGGCAGCAGUGGGGAAUCUUGCGCAAUGGGCGAAAGCCUGACGCAGCCAUGCCGCGUGAAUGAUGAAGGUCUUAGGAUUGUAAAAUUCUUUCACCGGGGACGAUAAUGACGGUACCCGGAGAAGAAGCCCCGGCUAACUUCGUGCCAGCAGCCGCGGUAAUACGAAGGGGGCUAGCGUUGCUCGGAAUUACUGGGCGUAAAGGGAGCGUAGGCGGAUAGUUCAGUCAGAGGUGAAAGCCCAGGGCUCAACCUUGGAACUGCCUUUGAUACUGGCUAUCUUGAGUUUGGGAGAGGUGUGUGGAACUCCGAGUGUAGAGGUGAAAUUCGUAGAUAUUCGGAAGAACACCAGUGGCGAAGGCGACACACUGGCCCAAUACUGACGCUGAGGCUCGAAAGCGUGGGGAGCAAACAGGAUUAGAUACCCUGGUAGUCCACGCUGUAAACGAUGAGUGCUAGUUGUCGGCAUGCAUGCAUGUCGGUGACGCAGCUAACGCAUUAAGCACUCCGCCUGGGGAGUACGGUCGCAAGAUUAAAACUUCAAAGUAGUUAGUUAGGCGGNGNGAGAGCGACGACGACGACGACGGAGGAGGAG